UACGUAGGCAGCAAGCGUUGUUCGGAAUUACUGGGCGUAAAGAGUGUGUAGGCGGUGCUCUAAGUUCGUUGUGAAAUCUCCCGGCUUAACUGGGAGGGUGCGGCGGAAACUGGAGUGCUUGAGCGCGGGAGAGGAAAGCGGAACUCCUGGUGUAGCGGUGAAAUGCGUAGAUAUCAGGAGGAACACCUGUGGUGUAGACGGCUUUCUGGACCGUAGCUGACGCUGAGACACGAAAGCGUGGGUAGCAAACAGG
rnacentral:rRNA from 1 species